rnacentral:lncRNA from 1 species
GAGGAGCCAUUUGGUGGCUUUUGAGUGAAAUCCAAUCUCUACAACUAUGCAAUACACCAACCACUCUAUUUCAUAACGAACGUCGUACAUACCUGAAUUGUCCAAGUUCGUGUACCAAUCGAUAUCGCAUUGGGCCCAAACCUUAGGGAACAUCAUAAAAUGAUGGGAGGAUUCAUUUGGUGACUUUUGAGUGAAAUCCAAUGGCUAAAACUAUGCAAUACAC